rnacentral:rRNA from 1 species
UACGUAGGGUGCAAGCGUUAUCCGGAAUUAUUGGGCGUAAAGCGCGCGUAGGCGGUUCGGUAAGUCCGUUGUGAAAGUCAAAGGCUCAACCUUUGAACGCCGAUGGAUACUGCAGGGCUAGAGUCCGGAAGAGGCGAGUGGAAUUCCUGGUGUAGCGGUGGAAUGCGCAGAUAUCAGGAGGAACACCAAUAGCGAAGGCAGCUCGCUGGGACGGUACUGACGCUAAGGCGCGAAAGCGUGGGGAGCGAACAGG